AUAAGGAGCUUGCUCCUUUGACGUUAGCGGCGGACGGGUGAGUAACACGUGGGUAACCUACCUAUAAGACUGGGAUAACUUCGGGAAACCGGAGCUAAUACCGGAUAACAUUUGGAACCGCAUGGUUCUAAAGUGAAAGAUGGUUUUGCUAUCACUUAUAGAUGGACCCGCGCCGUAUUAGCUAGUUGGUAAGGUAACGGCUUACCAAGGCGACGAUACGUAGCCGACCUGAGAGGGUGAUCGGCCACACUGGAACUGAGACACGGUCCAGACUCCUACGGGAGGCAGCAGUAGGGAAUCUUCCGCAAUGGGCGAAAGCCUGACGGAGCAACGCCGCGUGAGUGAUGAAGGGUUUCGGCUCGUAAAACUCUGUUAUUAGGGAAGAACAAAUGUGUAAGUAACUGUGCACGUCUUGACGGUACCUAAUCAGAAAGCCACGGCUAACUACGUGCCAGCAGCCGCGGUAAUACGUAGGUGGCAAGCGUUAUCCGGAAUUAUUGGGCGUAAAGCGCGCGUAGGCGGUUUCUUAAGUCUGAUGUGAAAGCCCACGGCUCAACCGUGGAGGGUCAUUGGAAACUGGGAAACUUGAGUGCAGAAGAGGAAAGUGGAAUUCCAUGUGUAGCGGUGAAAUGCGCAGAGAUAUGGAGGAACACCAGUGGCGAAGGCGACUUUCUGGUCUGUAACUGACGCUGAUGUGCGAAAGCGUGGGGAUCAAACAGGAUUAGAUACCCUGGUAGUCCACGCCGUAAACGAUGAGUGCUAAGUGUUAGGGGGUUUCCGCCCCUUAGUGCUGCAGCUAACGCAUUAAGCACUCCGCCUGGGGAGUACGACCGCAAGGUUGAAACUCAAAGGAAUUGACGGGGACCCGCACAAGCGGUGGAGCAUGUGGUUUAAUUCGAAGCAACGCGAAGAACCUUACCAAAUCUUGACAUCCUUUGAAAACUCUAGAGAUAGAGCCUUCCCCUUCGGGGGACAAAGUGACAGGUGGUGCAUGGUUGUCGUCAGCUCGUGUCGUGAGAUGUUGGGUUAAGUCCCGCAACGAGCGCAACCCUUAAGCUUAGUUGCCAUCAUUAAGUUGGGCACUCUAGGUUGACUGCCGGUGACAAACCGGAGGAAGGUGGGGAUGACGUCAAAUCAUCAUGCCCCUUAUGAUUUGGGCUACACACGUGCUACAAUGGACAAUACAAAGGGCAGCUAAACCGCGAGGUCAUGCAAAUCCCAUAAAGUUGUUCUCAGUUCGGAUUGUAGUCUGCAACUCGACUACAUGAAGCUGGAAUCGCUAGUAAUCGUAGAUCAGCAUGCUACGGUGAAUACGUUCCCGGGUCUUGUACACACCGCCCGUCACACCACGAGAGUUUGUAACACCCGAAGCCGGUGGAGUAACCAUUU
rnacentral:rRNA from 1 species